rnacentral:lncRNA from 1 species
AGAUCAUCCGGGCGUUGGAGAGGGAGGCAGAGAGCGGGUCCCGGAGAAGGAGGAGGAAGAGCCGAGGACUCAUCGCUUUCGCGCCUCAGCUGUCUAGAGUCCCCCCACCCCCCCCUCCCCAACCACCCGUUCCGGAGCAACAGCCGCCUGAGGACCCGAAGCUGCGGGCCGGACGAGCGCCGAGACCACUGCUCUCUAGCUCCCGCGCGCGCUCCCGUCCCUAGCGCCGCCACCGCCGCCGCCGCCGCCUCUAGCGCGGCCCCGCGCAGGCGCGCUCACGACCGCGUCGCCCCUCCCCCACCCCUCCGCUCGCCCCGCCCCGCUGGCUCCGCCGCCGCUACAGCUGCGGCGCGGCGCGCAGCUACAGAGACCCGGAUGUCGUUGGGCAGGAACUGCGGUGAGGGCUGGCGGGCGGGGGAGGGGCCGCCACAGAUGACGUCACUGCCUUACCCAGCUUCUUUCUCUGCCGCUGCUGCUGCCGCCGCCUUUGCCUUACGGCCUGGAGCACCAGGCCGAAGCCGAAGGGAGCGUCCGGAUCCCGGAUAGCAGCCAGGACCCGGGCCUUCACGUUCCGGCGCCAGGGACUGGACAGAAUGUGCGGCUAUUAGGUGCCCAGUAGAUCGACAGCCCCUCCGUGCCGGCCCUUGGCCAAGUAGGGACUCGGAAGCUACCCCUACGGCGUCCGCGCCCGGAGCCCUGGCUCUUCUACCUGCCUGCAGAUACAAACCCCACUCCCUGCGAAGAUGGUGUACACGCAGCCCCGAGCACAGACCCGAAGCUGUCCACCCUUCUUGGGCGCCGUCGCGGUCUGGCCGCUGCCCUUCGAACCCAUGCCAUGUUGGAACUACAUUUGGAAAGGUGGUUGUUAAACAUUUCCCAGCACACACCUGGAUCUGCAUCUGCUGUGUCAAUUGAACCACUCACUGGUUCUGUGACCUCAGUUCUUCGUAGACUCUGGAAUGGAGCUGGAAGCUGUCAUCCUCAGCACACUAACGCAGGAACAGAAAACCAAGCACUGCAUGUUCCCACUUAUAAGUGAGAGCUGAACGAGCAGAACACAUGGACAUAUGAAGGGGAACAACACACUCUGGGGCCUGUGAGGUGCAGGGAGAGCAUCAAGAAGAACAGCUAAUGGGUGCUGGGCUUAAUACCUGGGUGAUGGGUUGAUCUGUGCGGCAAACCACCAUGGCACACAUUUACCUAUGUAACAAACCUUGACAUCCUGCACAUGUACCCCGGAACUUAAAAAUAAAAGUUGACAAAAAGAAAA